GUUGAAGAACAUGUCACACCAGCACACGCCGCCGUCGCCAGCAGCAGGAAGUUGUUGAUUUGCAGCAUAUUCACACUUUCUGAUGCAGUCAGAGCUCACUGCUUCUCAGAACAGAUCCACUCAGAAGGAACUCCAGUUUCUGAUGUUUAUUUUACUUUUUCUUCCCCCCAAACAAGGCACAAAAGGGGAAAAUGAACGGGACACAAGAAAAAAGAAUCAAGGGUCUUACUGAUCCCAUCACACACCUCCUCUAAUGUCAUGGCUGGAAGGAAAUAAGAAGCCCUUCCUCGGGAGAAUGCCAGAGGCCCUUGAUUGAAGUCAAGGGCAUAAGGGAUGACCUCCUCCAGUCCCCAGCCCUCACCUUCGCCUUGCGUUUGCUGUCGUCCAUGAUCAUCUUCCAGUCCGAGCCGUUGUUGCUGUACCCGAUCUUGAACUUCCUCAUGAACACCUUGUUCUCUCGGUGCUUCCCACCCUGAAUGAUGAUGCCCCUCACGAUCUUCUCCUCCCCCAGGUCUAUUUGGAGCCACUCAUUGACGUAGGAAUGAGGUGCGGGUGGCAGUGCCCAGCCAGAGCGACUGGUUACCAGGCGGAUGUUUUCGGGCAUCCAGUUUCUGUCCCCUUGGUUGGAUGAUGUGAUCUGGGAGUCAGAAAUAAGUCCAGACACCAUACCCAACAUUCCAGAGCAAGGAUAAUCUGGGAGGUGAAAUGAAACAGAUAAUGUAAAAUGAUUUCCUGGGCGACUCCAUGCUAAGAAAUAAAAUACAACAUAUGGAAUAAAGA
rnacentral:antisense_RNA from 1 species